ensembl:lncRNA
GACAUUUUAUGAGCAUGAGGAAACCCAGGCAUCACCAUCGGGAAGAGCCUGACUCUGGGACCAGGACUAGACGGCGGGUCAACCCACUAGACAACUGGUCAACCCACCAGCCCCUCUACUUGCUCCAAGACCUCGGACACAUCACCAACUGCCAUCUGCUGAUGGAGAUGAUGGCAUCACACACACAGUCUCUCUGUCUCCCCUCUCUCAGGGACUGAGCUCCUGACUCAGAUGGGAAUCUUCCCAAAUCAGGGAUCAAACCUGAGUCUCCUACACUGGCAGGCAGAUUCUUUACCACUAAACCACCUGGGGAGCCCUAACGGGAUGAAAAAAGGACUUUGCAGGUGUGAUCAAGCUAAGGAUCUUAGCUGGGGAGAUGAUCCUGGAUUAUCUGGGUGGGCCCAGUGUAAUCCCUGGCUCCUUAUAAAAGGGAGAAGGCCAAGUGAGAAGGGCUGCAGAGGUUAGACUGAUGCUGCCAAGAGAUGCAGACAGCCUCUAGAAGCUGCAAGAGGCAAGAAACAGAUUCUCCAUGGAGCCUUCUGGAGGAACCCGCCCGGAGACACCUGGAUUUUAGCCCCACAAGACUCAUUUCCAGUUUCUGCCCUCCAGAACUAUAGGAGAGUAAAUGUGUGUUGCUUUAAGCCACUAAAGUUGUGGUAAUUAACUACAGCUGCCUCGGAACACUAAUACCAUUGAACUUAUCCCUUACCAUUGAGAGCAUGAACUUGGCUCUCCUGGGGAUUCUUCUGGCCAGAAGUAAUACUGCUCUGAGCACAUUUACUGUUCCUUUAACAAGAGUUUCUGGGGCUGAUUCAGCAGCUCAGGCUAUUUCCCUCUUUCUCAUUCUUCAGGAUAGUAAAGUCUCUGCCCAGAAUCAAAAUAGGGCUGUCGUGGGACUGCCCUCGUAGUCCAGUGGUGAAGAAUCCACCUUCCAAUGCAGGCAAUGGGGUUCAAGUCCUGGCUGGGGAGCUAAUAUCCCACCUGCAGCAGAGCAACUAAGCCCACACCCCCAACUAGAGAGCCUGUGCACCCCAGUGAGAAGCCCUGGCACUGCAACUCGAGAAAGUCCACGCACCAGGGCGAAGACCCAACACAGCCCCCCCAAAAAAAAUAAGGAAUGUAGUGGGCUUCCUCAUGAGGGAAAGGGAAAUCAAAAACCACAAUGAGAUGUCACUUCAAACCCACUAGGGUGGCGACAAUAAUAAUACUUUUUUAAAAAACCAAAAAAAAAACGAAAAUAGGGACUUCUCUGGUAGUCCAGUGGCUAAGAUUACAAACUCCCAGUGCAGGGGAUCAGGUUCAAUCUCUGGUCAGAGAACUAGAUCCCACAUGCCACAACUAAGACUUCAAACUCCACAACUAAAAAACCCAUGUAGCCAAAUAAAUAAAUAUUAAAAAAUAAUGAUAAAUGUUCUAAAAAUAGGACCGUCAUAACCC